GUACACGCUGUGACUAGCAUAUCAAUAAGCGGAGGAAAAGAAACUAACAAGGAUUCCCCUAGUAACGGCGAGUGAAGCGGGAAGAGCUCAAAUUUGAAAUCUUAAAGGGUUUCCCUUUACGAAUUGUAGUUUAAAGAAGUGUUUUCUGUUGAGGCUUUGGUAAAAGUUCUUUGGAAUAGGACAUCAUAGAGGGUGAGAAUCCCGUAUUUGACCUUUACUUUCAACUUUGUGAUACACUUUCAAAGAGUCGGAUUGUUUGGGAAUGCAGUCCAAAAUGGGUGGUAAAUUUCAUCUAAAGCUAAAUAUUGGCGAGAGACCGAUAGCGAACAAGUACCGUGAGGGAAAGAUGAAAAGAACUUUGAAAAGAGAGUUAAACAGUACGUGAAAUUGUCAAAAGGGAAGCGUUUGACACCAGUGUUGUUUUUCUGAAAAUCAAUUAAAGAACUGUUUAUGCUAAGUUGUUUAGACUUUAUCAGCUAACUGUUUAGUUUUGAGCUUUUCUUUAAUGCACUUUUCAGUUAACAAGUCAACAUCAAUUUCUUUUGCUGUAAAAAAGCUUGAGGAAGGUGGCUUGAGAUUCGUCUUAAGUGUUUAUAGCCUCUUGCCUAUGCAGUCGGAGAGAUUGAGGUCUGCAGCGUAGAUCCUUCGGGGCUAAGUGCAUUUGUGCUAAGUUAUAGCAUUUUAUAGACAACUUGUUGACUAUGAUUUGUCUUGUAGCUUACUCGCUUAUGUUAUUUUACCUACGCUUAGGAUGUUGACAGCAGUAUAGACUGU
rnacentral:rRNA from 1 species